rnacentral:rRNA from 1 species
UACGGAGGGUGCGAACGUUAAUCGGAAUCACUGGGCGUAAAGCGCGCGUAGGCGGUUUGUUAAGUGGGAUGUGAAAGCCCCGGGCUUAACCCGGGAAUGGCAUUGAAUACUGUUAAUCUGGAGGAUCGGAGGGGGGACUGGAAUUCUUGGUGUAGCAGUGAAAUGCGUAGAUAUCAAGAGGAACACCAGUGGCGAAGGCGAGUCCCUGGACGAUACCUGACACUGAGGCACGAAAGCCGGGGGAGCAAACAGG